CAGAGGGGUGGUAACGUGGGAGGAGUCAGCCUCGGGUCACAGCUGCUUGAAGCAGUGGCUAUGAAAAGGGACGGCGGUUGCGUCGGGUGUUCGGGGAGCUCCAGAUACCAGCUCAGUGUCUUGGAGGACAGAAGGUAUGGAUGGAUGUACGGACGAGAGCCGGAGGAAAGAAGAGCUCCAGGAUGCCAUUCCCAUAUUAAGUUUUGCCGAGGAGCCGGACUCUCGCUAAAAAUAAGGCCUGAGCGAGACGAACGCUGUGGACAAGAUGGCGUCCGUGCACCGACUGGUGCCGUGAUGGAACUCCGCAGCAGGAUGUGACAUCAGAGCUCAUGUUCAGGGAGAAACCAGCCGACAGACAGCUGCUAACAUCUGUCAUCAGGGAGGACAACACACGGCGAGGCCACAUUCAUGAUCCAGAGCAACCGCUGACACUGCAGUUUCCAUUUAACAUCUAAAUCUGUGUGUGUAGAUGUGUGUGACCUCCCAACUGUUGCACCUCUGAGGCCAACAGCGCCCCCCUCUGGCAGUGGCACCAAUGACCCUCACUCUAAGUACAAGUCCAUCUCCUCCAUCUCAUCGCUCCGUCGCCCUCUUCUCAAACCGGCUCGAGGAAGACAAGCAACAAACAAGCAUCCGUGUGGCUUGUGGCGAGGUUGUUGCUACGGCAACUGGAAGGUUGACUCAAACAGCACACACACACACACACAGACACACACAAAGACACACACUCCUCUCCCCACUCCAUCUCACGAGGCCAAAUUGAAAUGAAAGUGAGUAAAGUCCAUCCAUCAGUCCCA